UGAACGCUGGCGGCGUGCCUAACACAUGCAAGUCGAGCGAUUACUUCGGUAAAGAGCGGCGGACGGGUGAGUAACGCGUGGGUAACCUGCCUCAUACACAUGGAUAACAUACCGAAAGGUAUGCUAAUACAGGAUAAUAUAAGAGAUUCACAUGGAUUUCUUAUCAAAGCUCCGGCGGUAUGAGAUGGACCCGCGUCUGAUUAGCUAGUUGGUAAGGUAAUGGCUUACCAAGGCGACGAUCAGUAGCCGACCUGAGAGGGUGAUCGGCCACAUUGGAACUGAGACACGGUCCAAACUCCUACGGGAGGCAGCAGUGGGGAAUAUUGCACAAUGGGCGAAAGCCUGAAUGCAGCAACGCCGCGUGAGUGAUGAAGGCCUUCGGGUCGUAAAACUCUGUCCUCAAGGAAGAUAAUGACGGUACUUGGGGAGGAAGCCCCGGCUAACUACGUGCCAGCCGCCGC
rnacentral:rRNA from 1 species